UACGUAGGAUGCAAGCGUUAUCCGGAAUUAUUGGGCGUAAAGCGUCCGCAGGUGGCAAUGCAAGUCUGCUGUCAAAGCGUCUGGCUCAACCAGAUAAAGGCAGUGGAAACUACAUAGCUAGAGUAAGGUAGGGGUAGAGGGAAUUCCUGGUGUAGCGGUGAAAUGCGUAGAGAUCAGGAAGAACGCCGGUGGCGAAGGCGCUCUGCUGGGCCUUAACUGACGCUGAGGGACGAAAGCUAGGGGAGCGAAUGGG
rnacentral:rRNA from 1 species